rnacentral:rRNA from 1 species
UACGUAGGGCGCAAGCGUUAUCCGGAAUUAUUGGGCAUAAAGAGCUCGUAGGCGGCUUGUCGCGUCGAAUGUGAAAUCCCGAGGCUCAACUUCGGGCUUGCGGUCGAUACGGGCGGGCUAGAGUUCGGUAGGGGAGACUGGAAUUCCUGGUGUAGCGGUGAAAUGCGCAGAUAUCAGGAGGAACACCGGUGGCGAAGGCGGGUCGUCUGGGCCGAUACUGACGCUGAGGAGCGAAAGCAUGGGGAGCGAACAGG